AUGCAGAUUUAAUCGCGAGGCAGUGCUCUCAGUACUUAAGAACAUGCACAGUGCACAGUGAAUGAAAAUUUUUCACACAUGGUUUCUCCCUCCACAAAGAAAAUUUCCUAUACUUUUUUGUUGUUGUUCUUGAUUUUUCAGCUCAACAAAAGAAUGGAGAUCUGGCUUUGGAAAGUAAGCGCUUGGAAAGAAGCCACAGAUGUCAACAAGCCUAGGCCUGCUUUCUCAUCCACAAAGCAAUGAAUUUAUUUUCUUUAACUUUGUGCUAAGCAAUAUGUGUGGAGAAACAGACCCUGGGUUCGUGUGAAAUAGGAACUGAAAUGGAUUGCUAAUCAGCAUUGUGAGUUAUGCUCAGGGAUACUCUGAGUGUAUUUUACUGACCCCAAGGAGAAAACAACAACAAAAAUGUACAUCUAAGAGAGCUGGUGGAUGAACAUAGGUGUGGGCAGCCCUUCAAUGUCGGUGGACCAAGACUGGUCCGACAAAAUGCCUCCUUCAAGUGUUUGCCUCAAAACAGAAUGUUUCAGAAAAUGGAAAACUGAUGUUUGGAAAGCAACUAAAAAAUCAACGAUAUAGAAGAGAAUGAAAAUACUUCAAAGGAAGGGAGAAUUACCAAUUGCUGGGCAAAAGAUGGGAAAUCAUCAAGUAAAAAAACAGGAGACAAAGACAUGUUCUCCCUCUUGGAGAAGAGUGGGAAUCAGAGGGCAACUGGGAAACUCAGCAAAGAAAACCCUAAAAGAGCUUUCAGGUUAUAAGAGAAGAAUAAGGAGCAGAAAAUAUGGAUUAUUAUCUCUGUUAUAGACUGAACUAUCUCCUUCCAAAAUUCAUAUGUUGAAGCUCCAAGACCUCAGAAUAUGACUGAAUUUGGAGAUAAGGCAUUUAAGGAGGUAAUUAAGCUAAGAUGGGGUUCUUGGGAUGGGCCCUAGUGUAAUAUGACUAGGAGUGUUUCAAAGUAGAGAUUAGAACACAACACAGACAGAAGGAUGACUG
ensembl:lncRNA